rnacentral:tRNA from 2 species
UGUAAAUAAAUGUAUGAUGCAUAUAGAGUUUUGGGUUCUAAAGUUAAGUUUAAUUCUUAAAUUUACAA